rnacentral:rRNA from 1 species
ACAAGCCCUGGAAACGGGGUCUAAUACCGGAUAACACUCUGUCCCGCAUGGGACGGGGUUAAAAGCUCCGGCGGUGAAGGAUGAGCCCGCGGCCUAUCAGCUUGUUGGUGGGGUAAUGGCCUACCAAGGCGACGACGGGUAGCCGGCCUGAGAGGGCGACCGGCCACACUGGGACUGAGACACGGCCCAGACUCCUACGGGAGGCAGCAGUGGGGAAUAUUGCACAAUGGGCGAAAGCCUGAUGCAGCGACGCCGCGUGAGGGAUGACGGCCUUCGGGUUGUAAACCUCUUUCAGCAGGGAAGAAGCGAAAGUGACGGUACCUGCAGAAGAAGCGCCGGCUAACUACGUGCCAGCAGCCGCGGUAAUACGUAGGGCGCAAGCGUUGUCCGGAAUUAUUGGGCGUAAAGAGCUCGUAGGCGGCUUGUCACGUCGGAUGUGAAAGCCCGGGGCUUAACCCCGGGUCUGCAUUCGAUACGGGCUAGCUAGAGUGUGGUAGGGGAGAUCGGAAUUCCUGGUGUAGCGGUGAAAUGCGCAGAUAUCAGGAGGAACACCGGUGGCGAAGGCGGAUCUCUGGGCCAUUACUGACGCUGAGGAGCGAAAGCGUGGGGAGCGAACAGGAUUAGAUACCCUGGUAGUCCACGCCGUAAACGUUGGGAACUAGGUGUUGGCGACAUUCCACGUCGUCGGUGCCGCAGCUAACGCAUUAAGUUCCCCGCCUGGG